UCAUUGUGUUCAUGUAGCUGGUCCAAUUUAGUUUCCAAUAAACUAUCUAAUACAACACAAGGAGAUAAAGAUAGUGUAGCAAUGUGAUAUAGCUGAUUUUUUUCUUGAAGAACAGGCUUAAAAAGUAAAAAUUCAACAUAUGAAGAUGAGAAGCAAAUUGAUUGUUGCGCAUCUCCUCUACAGUUUCCCAGAUAUGGGGGAAGAAGAAUGGGGUCUUGGCGCGACAGAAGUUGCUCUAGUUUCCUUGGAACAUUUAUAAUUGCAGGGGCUUGGUCUUGCUUUAGUUUCCUUGUCAUCUUCAGCUAAUUGGAACUCAUAUCCUAGAACAGGCAGAGGAUUUCCUUCCAGAAAGCUACAUUGAAUUGGGAAGCCAUGAGCACAUCUGCAUGAAAUCUCGGCAGUGGUGAAGUUUCCACUGUUUUCUGGGCUUUCAGUGUCUGCCCAUGCAGGACCAUAAAGAGAUACCUGGGAUUUCAGUCAAAGUAUCACGGUUAAUUUAAUAUAUUCCAUGCAAACAAAACUAUCAUUCAUGUACCAUCAACGAAAAGUACAAAUUUUAACAACUGCAAGACUUCAGUGUAAUUAAAUUUCAAAUUUUGAAAACAAAUUGUUAAUUCUAACACAAUAAAUAUUUAAGUGCAUUUUAAACAAAUUUCAGAGAAUCUUUUUAUAAUUAACCCCAAAGAUAAAAUGAGAAGAUUGAACGGUUACAAGUUUGUCUCUGAACAGGGCAACAUAUACAACCCAGACAAGUUACAAAUCAGAGAGUACCCAUAAAUUAAGUUGGAAGUCGUGAAAAAAUAAAAAGAGAAAGGCAACCAAAUAUUGAAUUUCAAUGAAGUACAGUUACGCCCCUUGUUCCAGUUAAUAUAUCUACCGUCCACUUAGAAAAAUUGCCCCCAAUUACCCCCACCUUAUAUAUGGAGGUGCUCUACCAAGGGAAAAAUGGACCAAUGAUACAAUGUAGGUUCCUAAACUCAACCGAAAGAGGUCGAACCAAGGGCACUGGCAACAACAAAUUUUUCUGCUCAAGCUCCUGUACCAGCAAAUUAACGUGUACGCUACAAGGCCUCGGUUCCUUUUUCUCUGUCCUCUAGCCUGCAAUGCUGAGAUCAAGCAUCAAGUGCACCAAGUGCUUUCAUGUCCUCCAAAAACGCCAUAUAUGAGUCAUCAAUACUCUGAGUCUUUGGAGCUGGUGGCAAUUUAGUGGACUCUGGCUUCAUGAUGGUAGGAGCAGCCGGUCUGAUGACUGCUGCUGAUGCAGUUGAAACUGUUGGCUUGGGUUUGGAUUUUGGAACAGCAGUCUCUCUCCUUACGCGAACUGAAGCAGGAACCAUAGCUGUAAGUUCUGCAGUGUGCUGUGCUAAUGGCCUCUUAACAACAGUAGAUGCAGCAGAUUUGACAUAAGAUGGCUUCUGAGGAAUGGGUGGCCUUAUUGCAGGAUCUUCUUGUAAGGUAGGAGGAGGACCAGGUGGAAGUGGUGGUCUCAUCAUUGGAGGAGGUCCAGGGGGAGGACCAUAUGGUGGUCUUGGCAUUAGUGGAACCAUCACUCCUGGAGGAGCCACUUGGCCAGGAAGUCCGGUAGCAGCCCCUGGUGCCCGCAUACCUGGUGGAGGUGGGGGUCCAGGCAAAUGUGAUAUUCCUGGGGGCAAUACAUCAGGCUGUAAUGUGGGAAUCACAGUUGGCCCAGCCACAGGAGGUGGUUGCCGUGGAGGAGGUGGUGGGGGAACCAUUUUAAGGUUAUCCUUAGUUGCUGUUGGAUUAUCACCAUUAGCUUCAGAUGAGGUGCCUUCAGACUGAUUGAUGGCUGACUUCAGCAGCAUACUAGGAGGAGGAGGUGGUGGGGGGAGUACAGUAGGCACAUGAAUUGUUUCUUUGGAUGAUGGUUCAUCUGACAAGGUAGAUAAAUUUCUUUCCCUUUCAAUUUCAUUAGUGCCAGGUGGAGGUGGCUGAGCAGACUGUUGGAGGGGAGAAGGCGGUGGUAGGAAGGUGUGACUUGAAACUUGAUCUUUUGGUGGGGGGCCUGGUGGAGGUGGAGGUGGAGGCGGAGGCGGAGGCAGUGACAUGCCCAACCCUGGUGCAGGAGGCUUUGGUGGCAUGGGAGGAGGUGGAGGUAGAGGCAAAGAAGCAGGUAUAACAGAGUUAUCACCAGAGGCCACGUUAGUGCUCUCUGGCAAAGGCGGAGGUGGGGGAGGUGGCGGGGGAAGCACUGCUAAGGUACCAUCAUCCGACUCUGUAUUUGAGGACGAUGCGGCAGUGCUUGAUGAAGCAGCAGCAGAUAAGGGAAUCCGAGGCCCUAUGGAUGACUUAUACAUAGGAGGCUUUCCCGGUGGUGGGGCCCCAGUAGGAUUCAGUGUAGGAUGAUAGUAGACGGAGUCUUCAGGUUUAGGGUGCUUGACUCUCUCUUCUUCUUCUGCAGAUGUUCUCCUCCGAGGUGGCCCCAAAUGACUGAACAUGACUGGUGUCUCACCCUUCUCCUUCAUCUUCUCUUCAUAAUCCUUUCUCUUUUUCAAAACAAGGUUAAGUGUAUCCUCAAGUUGACGCUUCUUGUGUUUUCUUGCUUUAUCCAAAGCACCAUCAGCCUUCAUCAAUUCCAACUUCUCUAUUUGCUCCCUAAGCGCCUCAGGAUCCUUCUUCAAGAUGCCCACCUCCCUCACCUUCUUUCUUUCUUUUUUAUUCCGUUUUAAUUCUUUCUUGCGAAGCUCCUUACGAUAGGCGUCAGUGGGGUUCAUAACUUUGCCUCCUUUCGUCGUCUUCAUCUUGCAAAUAGAAAAAUUGAGGAACUUUGGCCUUACGUAUCUAUCAACGUCUCCUCAAAAAAAAAAGUAUUUUUUUUCUAAAUUAGCAACAAUAAUGAUUGAUAUACUUGUUCUUUGUGAUUGUUCAAUGUGGAAAUUUAAUUAGAAAUCAAAGACAGGAAGAGCUUGCAGAAACCCUUCUUCGCUUCCUUUUCUAUGGUUAAUCUGAUGCAGCUUAAUAUCUAAAAGGAGCAAAUU
rnacentral:misc_RNA from 1 species